rnacentral:rRNA from 1 species
GACGAACGCUGGCGGCGUGCUUAACACAUGCAAGUCGAACGGAAAGGCCCUGCUUUUGUGGGGUGCUCGAGUGGCGAACGGGUGAGUAACACGUGAGUAACCUGCCCUUGACUUUGGGAUAACUUCAGGAAACUGGGGCUAAUACCGGAUAGGAGCUCCUGCUGCAUGGUGGGGGUUGGAAAGUUUCGGCGGUUGGGGAUGGACUCGCGGCCUAUCAGCUUGUUGGUGGGGUAGUGGCUUACCAAGGCUUUGACGGGUAGCCGGCCUGAGAGGGUGACCGGCCACAUUGGGACAGAGAUACGGCCCAGACUCCUACGGGAGGCAGCAGUGGGGAAUAUUGCACAAUGGGCGGAAGCCUGAUGCAGCAACGCCGCGUGCGGGAUGACGGCCUUCGGGUUGUAAACCGCUUUCGCCUGUGACGAAGCGUGAGUGACGGUAAUGGGUAAAGAAGCACCGGCUAACUACGUGCCAGCAGCCGCGGUGAUACGUAGGGUGCGAGCGUUGUCCGGAUUUAUUGGGCGUAAAGGGCUCGUAGGUGGUUGAUCGCGUCGGAAGUGUAAUCUUGGGGCUUAACCCUGAGCGUGCUUUCGAUACGGGUUGACUUGAGGAAGGUAGGGGAGAAUGGAAUUCCUGGUGGAGCGGUGGAAUGCGCAGAUAUCAGGAGGAACACCAGUGGCGAAGGCGGUUCUCUGGGCCUUUCCUGACGCUGAGGAGCGAAAGCGUGGGGAGCGAACAGGCUUAGAUACCCUGGUAGUCCACGCUGUAAACGGUGGGUACUAGGUGUGGGGUCCAUUCCACGGGUUCCGUGCCGUAGCUAACGCUUUAAGUACCCCGCCUGGGGAGUACGGCCGCAAGGCUAAAACUCAAAGGAAUUGACGGGGCCCCGCACAAGCGGCGGAGCAUGCGGAUUAAUUCGAUGCAACGCGUAGAACCUUACCUGGGUUUGACAUGGGUCGGGAGUGCUCAGAGAUGGGUGUGCCUCUUUUGGGGUCGGUUCACAGGUGGUGCAUGGCUGUCGUCAGCUCGUGUCGUGAGAUGUUGGGUUAAGUCCCGCAACGAGCGCAACCCUUGUUCACUGUUGCCAGCACGUUAUGGUGGGGACUCAGUGGAGACCGCCGGGGUCAACUCGGAGGAAGGUGGGGAUGACGUCAAGUCAUCAUGCCCCUUAUGUCCAGGGCUUCACGCAUGCUACAAUGGCUGGUACAGAGAGUGGCGAGCCUGUGAGGGUGAGCGAAUCUCGGAAAGCCGGUCUCAGUUCGGAUUGGGGUCUGCAACUCGACCUCAUGAAGUCGGAGUCGCUAGUAAUCGCAGAUCAGCAACGCUGCGGUGAAUACGUUCCCGGG